rnacentral:rRNA from 1 species
UACGAAGGGUGCCAGCGUUACUCGGAAUUACUGGGCGUAAAGCGUGCGUAGGUGGUGAGUUAAGUCUGUCGUGAAAGCCCCGGGCUCAACCUGGGAAUGGCGAUGGAUACUGGCUCGCUAGAGUGCGGUAGAGGAGAGUGGAAUUCCCGGUGUAGCAGUGAAAUGCGUAGAGAUCGGGAGGAACAUCAGUUGCGAAGGCGGCUCUCUGGACCAGCACUGACACUGAGGCACGAAAGCGUGGGGAGCAAACAGG